rnacentral:tRNA from 1 species
ACCUGGUUGGCUCGGUCGGUGGAGCAUAUGACUCUUGAUCUCAGGGCUGUGGGUUCAAGCCCCACAUUGGGUG